CCUCUCUCCACUCUCUCUCUUUCCUCCAUUGAAGCGUACUCGACAUUCUCCAUUGAAGGGGCUUCUGAUUUGCAAGUGCCCACUGUCGACCAUUGCUGGUUCUUCCUCUAAUUGUCGGUGCUAGUGGUGGUGGGUUCCAUCUUCUAAUUGUCUCAAGCACCACUGGAUGUGUUUGCAAGUGCCCACCGUCGACCAUUGCUGGUUCUGCCUGCUCCGGUCGCACGCACCACCGUCCUUGUGCUCUACCACCACCGUCCAACAGCUGGCCACCAGAUAAGACUUGAAGAAAGGCAUUCAUGUUGAAAACCUAACUGAGUUAGAGGUCACUAGUGCUCGAGAUGUUAUGCAACAGCUUCUUCUGGGUGCUGCAAGGUGGCUGCCACUAACAUGAAUAGAGCAAGUAGUCAUUCUCACAGUGUAUUCACCUGUGUUAUUGAGAGUACUUGGGAAUCCCAAGGUGUAACACAUAAUCGCUUUGCUCGACUAAAUCUUAUAGAUUUAGCUGGCUCUGAAAGGAAAAAGAGUUCUGGUGCAGAAGGUGACCGUCUUAAAGAAGCCACAAAUAUCAAUAAGUCACUGUCAACUUUAGGUCUGUUUUUCCUUCUUUCAAUUAAAACUAUAUAGCAGUAGCUCACAGUAAAGAAUUUAUCUCUUGAUUGUCCUUACUUUUUAUAAUGCUUUAGACUCACGAUAAUGAACCUCGUGAGCAUAUCCAAUGGAAAAUCCCAUCACGUGCCAUA